UACGUAGGGCGCAAGCGUUAUCCGGAAUUAUUGGGCGUAAAGAGCUCGUAGGCGGUUUGUCGCGUCUGCUGUGAAAGCCCGGGGCUCAACCCCGGGUCUGCAGUGGGUACGGGCAGACUAGAGUGCAGUAGGGGGAGACUGGAAUUCCUGGUGUAGCGGUGAAAUGCGCAGAUAUCAGGAGGAACACCGAUGGCGAAGGCAGGUCUCUGGGCUGUAACUGACGCUGAGGAGCGAAAGCAUGGGGAGCGAACAGG
rnacentral:rRNA from 1 species